UACAUGGGGUGCAAACGUUGCUCGGAAUUAUUGGGCGUAAAGCGCACGUAGGUGGUCGCUUAAGUCGGAUGUGAAAGCCCUCGGCUCAACUGAGGAAGUGCAUCCGAAACUGAGUGGCUAGAGUAUGGAAGAGGGUCGCGGAAUUCCCGGUGUAGAGGUGAAAUUCGUAGAUAUCGGGAGGAACACCGGUGGCGAAGGCGGCGACCUGGGCCAAUACUGACACUGAGGUGCGAAAGCGUGGGGAGCAAACAGG
rnacentral:rRNA from 1 species